rnacentral:rRNA from 1 species
CGGGUGAGUAACGCGUGGAAAACCUGCCGUAUACUGGGGGAUAACACUUAGAAAUAGGUGCUAAUACCGCAUAAGCGCACAGCUUCGCAUGAAGCGGUGUGAAAAACUCUGGUGGUAUACGAUGGUUCCGCGUCUGAUUAGCUAGUUGGUGGGGUAAUGGCCUACCAAGGCAACGAUCAGCAGCCGGCCUGAGAGGGUGAACGGCCACAUUGGGACUGAGACACGGCCCAAACUCCUACGGAAGGCAGCAG